rnacentral:lncRNA from 1 species
AAGAGAUGGGAAAAGCCAAAUUUUAUGACAGCCACAAGCAAUAGGUGUUCAACAGGAAUAUAUAUUGUAGACAAGGAUAUGAUGUAGCGGUAAACAGUGUAAAAAUUGAUCACUAGGUGAGUACUCCCAAGCAUUUGCCAACAUUUGAACCUGAAAUUAAGCAAACCAUCGUAAUGAUUAUUUCAAGGUGAAACAGAAGUGCAAUGAAAAGGAAAUACGCUUCAGUCAAAACCUAACAGUUCGAACUUCCAAAAAGUACACUUUAGAAAGAAAGAUUUGACAGCAAGCAUUUUGCAUUAUGCAAGUAAAAUUGACAACAUAUUGCUCUGCCUUGUACGUGAAAGAAGAGCUUUACAUGGCAAUCAAUUUUUGUUGUCUUAUUAUAACGCAUAUUCACCAUACAAGCACAUCUCACCCUGCCAAAAGUCUGACAUUUUCCACAUUAAGGAAAGAUCUAGAGUAAUUGGAAAAACUAAAAGAACAUUUUCCCACUUCAUUUUGUUUUAGACCAAGUACACACAAUAUAAAUGACAGGCAAGUAAUAAAAAUACCUGAGCCAAGAUGCUUCCGUGUGUAUGAACAACUCCUUUUGGUUUACCUGUUGUGCCACUAGUGUACAGUAUUAAUGCCGGUUUCUCAUCUACAUUUGGACAUGAAAGUCAGCAAAGAGAAUACUGUAAUUUGAGCAUUUAAACUUGUCAUAAACAUACACAAAACCAAAGGCAAACACCUUCGAUCUCACUAAAGUUUUCUAUUCCCUGUACCCGCUCAAUAACAUUCAGCUCUCCGUUAUGUGACUGAUCAAGCUCAGUUGAUGUGCUAACAACAGGAGGAAGAAGAGAAAAGUGAGCUGCAGUUUUAGCUGCAACAUCUUUCAAGAUUUCCUGAUGAUCUUCAGUACUCAAAAUCAUGGAGACGUCCUAAGAAUCACAUUCACACACAGAUUUUACUGUAUAGUCAAAGCAAAUGAUUAUCACACUAAAACAUACUUUUAAAUUUCUUCAAUUCUAGUAAAAUCGCAAGUUUGUGUAGGUCAAUACAAUAAUUUGGCAAAUGCUACAUUUUUACUUAAAAAAGUUUUUGCACAUACUAUAUAUGCUAAUAGCCAACAAAUCAUUAGUAGAACUAGAAAAAGCUACAAUAAUGAAGAUCAAAUAAUUGCCAGAUAUGCUUCAAAAUCUAGUCGAAUAGAGGGAAGCAAAGUCCAAAACUUACACUAGGUACAUUAAUCAGUUUAAAUGAAACACUUCACACUUAGACAACAAACCUGACUGUAAAAUUAGAAAGAAAAUAAAAUCUUUCUUUGACUUCAUGAAAUAUAUCAAAGGUUUUUUUUUUUUUUAAUGAAAAAAGUCAGGAGAAUAUCAAAUCAACUAGAAAAAGAUACGUGAGAACUAGAUGGUUCAGUGGAGCUAACAGAAUCAUUCAUAACAUGCAGUAGCUCAGCCUCUGGAUAGCUAAGUGCAAGAGGAACUGCAACACCUCCACUGAGCCAAGUUCCAAGUAUGCCAGCAACAAACUCGGCACAAGGUUUAGCUACAAUGCCUAUCCUAAUUCCACCAAGAUGCUUAUUUCCUUUGAGAUCCACAGCCUGUCAAAAUCCAAUUAUUUGUGCCACGAUCAGAUUCUAAAACUAGAAUGCCUCAGAUCAAACAAAUAUGAAUUGAGGUAAAGGUAUUGCUUUGACACAGUACAAGUAUGAAAUCAUUGGAAUAUUCCCUUUUUCCAACUUGCUAAGCAAUCAUGAUGAAAUAGAGGAAACUUAGAGAGCACCGAUACACUAGUUAUCCAGAAUCACACAUAAACUGAAAGCCAUAAGAGCAGUUCAAUUUUUCAACUCACAGUUUUCAGACCACCAUUGCAUAACAGAGUAGAAAUCCUCCAAGCAGAUGAUAUGAGUUGAUGGUAACUAUAGCUUUUCUGUUCAGAUCUUACGGCAAUGCUCUGCCCUGUUUGAGACCCUUUGCUUGCAACUGCUUUGACCAGCUCCAUCAGCAAAUUACUCCUUGAUGCUGCAUUUUUAAAAGGAAACAACCAUGAUCUAUGCAGGCAAAUUACACGAUAUAGUAUAUCCUCCAUCCUGUUAGCCCUAAUAAUUGAAUUGCUAAAGCAGAAAAGCUCAAAGCACAUUACCGUAUCCAGGCAGUUUCAGAGAGACCACUGUCAUGAAAUACCAAUACCAUCAAAGAGGAAAAAAAUUACUUUCUCCUACUUAAGCAAAACUAGUCCAAAGCCCCCAAAAAUUUCAAAACUUGAUUCACCAAUACCGGAACUUAUGUAUUCCAUAAGUUCCUUACCGCUCCUGCUUUGGCUUGAUAAUCAAAUAUUCCUUCUUCAAUUCCUAACCGUCCCCAUUCCCCUUUCCUGUUUCUCCUUCCACACCUCCCCUUUUUGAUAUACAACUGAUAUUGUAACAGGAUAACAAAAGCAGAGUCCAAUAUACCCCAUUUACACGUACUUACAAACAUAUGAUAUACUAUACGAAGGUCAUAAGUUAAUAAGUCAAACGAAAGGCUAUUAGAUUAUGAAAAGGGCUCUUACCGGAGGAAAGAAACCGAACUUGGGAAGUGGGAUUGGUGGGAUUUUCGCGAAAAACUUGAAGAAGAGGCAGAGGACAUAAAAUUCUGGUCUUGACAAAAGAAGAAGAUGAAUUUUUUGGAAGACGUCUGAGACUAAUAAGUAGCUGGAGCUGGCAGUUGAAGGCUGGCUUGGGAUUAAAUGAAGUCAUACUUAGGUGGGAACAGUAAUUACGGCAAUUACCGCUCAAUUUAUUUAUGGCCACUCUCACCAUAUCAUCACUGCUCACUCAUUCAAACUAAUCGCGCCACAGGUUCAGAUGAACAACCAGCUGAAAUUUUGGUUCACAUUUCUUUAAGAACUGUUCACACUACUUCUAGUUGAUAUUGUAGAUUACAACACAUCAGUAAUAUUUUGGGUAGGUUUGGUUGGAAGCUUUGAUGGAUAUGCUGGUUGAGAGUUUGAGAAGAGACAAUAAACGAAUUGCAUAAAUGUCGUAAAACACAGGCGGGCUCUUUGAAAACUUUUAUUCAUUUGUUUAUUUGAAUAUAAUAUUAUUCAUAAGAUAUGCAGGGGAUACGAAAAGGUUAAUAGAUAUUUCUUAAUUAGUUAUUAAAUUUUUGUAUGAUUAAAAACCUAAAAAUAUAUAUCUAUGUUUAAUUAACUACCAGAUAUGCAAAAAUAUUUUUUCUCCAUAAACAAAUAUUAAGUUUCUGACAGCAUUAAUUAAGUAACAAGUAAAAUAACACUAAAUAAAGCUAAUAAAUAUGGAUAAAAUAGAAAGUGUAUUUAUAAAUAAAAAUACAGUUUGAUAGAAUAGAAAGGAAAAUAAUAACAAAAAAUAAUUCAAAUUUAUCAAAAUGGACUAAGUUGCUAGGAGAGAGAGAGAUUGUGAGAAAUUUUGAUUAGAGAAGAGUUGGAUGUGAAUAUGGAUAAAAUCCAAAUAUCUAAAUGACCCACCAAUUCUCUUCAAUUAGCAUCCUGCCUAGGAAAGAGAAAAUGAAUAAUUAAAUUAACAAAAUAUAGAUUCAUUAUUACUUCAGAAUUCUACAAAUUUAUGUAAAAAAUACAAUAAUUGAGCUGAACAGGAAAGAAUCAACUGCAGAGGCCCCUUGUGCGAGUGUCUAGCCUCUUUCUUGAAGCAGAGCGUUCUUAAGACGUAUAAUUGCAACUAGGACGGGUUGAGUUUGUGGCUUACUUAUGAUUUGCACAUUCAACUGUGAUCAGCAUUUUUCAGAUAAACAUAAUAAUCUUAGCAUUGAAAUACCUCACACGAUUAAUUUGAAGUACAUUAUUCAUAUCAGCUAAAAACUAGUAACAAAAUUUAAUAGCUUUUUUUUUUUUUGGAAUAAAAAGUCUUUAAAAUGCCUCGAUGAAGGAGAGGAUUUUAGUGAACGGAAACAGAUUAGGCGUACCCAAGUCCUUUUUUUAUUUUAUAGAAUGAAAGAAAAAUCUAUUGAUAUUCAACUAAUUCGGAAGCAAUAUGAAACAAAUUGCUAAUAUAAGGUAUAAAAAUGCUAAAUUUGAUAACUUAAAGCAGAAAUCAGAAUUGCUAAAAUUGACAAUUUAUAAAUGCUGAUAAAGGGCUUCGACGCCUCUAUUUCUGUUGCAUAUAUGGCAUCCCAUAAAGAUGUUCUUUUUAUUUUUUUUUUCCAGGGUCUCCUACGCUAGGAGGAGGGGGCGGACUUAAGAAAGUCCAGAAUAACUCGGAAGAAACUGAAUCACCACCGGACCAAAUGGAUGCACUGCGCACCAGUCUAAACUUUUUGAUUAAAAUCACUUUUUAAUGUGGCAAUUGAUGGGCGUUUAGGAUUCCAAUAAGAUUUAAUGAUUUAGUGGUGGCGAACAGCCCAAAGCUGGUGGUUCCAUAAAGAGGUUCAUGUGAAGGCGAAUUAUAUAUAUAUAUAUUUUUUUUCAUCACAGUGUGAAGGCGAAUUAUAUAUGGGUCGUAACUUACUCGUUACUACUAUUACAAGGCGCGGAAGUUUUGUAAUUUUGUUGUACGUAUGGCACGGAUGACGCGAUUAUAAGGGCUUAAGAGUUAACGCCUUCUCGUUUGUUGAAAAAAAAAAAAAAGAGUUAACGCCUUCUGAUAUUAAAGCGUGGUGCUAGAAGUAAAGGUGGGUACCUUCCGGUUGACGACUUGGUUUGGUGGAAGAAUCGUGCUCUCCAGUGGAAAAUGUUAAAGGAGCCUCUGUUCAUCCAUUAGAGUUAGAAUUGGAUGAGAUCCUGUAAUGCUUCAGUUUGGCAUUUUAGAGUUCAAUGAAAGACGAGAAUUUCUUAGCCAGCAAGGUUUCAAAUCAACUCGAAACGAGCUCUAAAGGGACGUUAAUCUAUAGUUUGUCUGCUGGUAAAAAGAGCCGGCCUCCAAGUUGUAACAAACAACACAAAUGUUUACUGCAAAAAGAUCUGCACUUUCACGCUUAGACCGACCUUAUUCUGUUUACAGUUCACAAGCACACAACUCGUAGACUUCUUGUGGUACAGAAUUCAGAGUCAACAUUGUAUCAACCAACGAAACCUGACAAUCUUUACUUGGACAUGGACUGAACAGAGGGAGGAUUUGUUGCAUGUGGAUAUCCAUACUUCAUUCCUUGUUGUCGAGCGAGGAUUCUAUUCCAGCCUGCAAAGCAAUUUCCCAGGUUGUUACCACCACGAUAUUGAGUAGCUAAAUGAACUAAAGAGUUUGGUGAGUUGUGACUAGUGUCCAUGCUAUGCUGAGUUUACCAAUGCUCAGAAUAUAUUCUCAUAAAUCGAAAGUAGAAGUACCUAAAGCAGGAUCAAGAUCCCUGUUCCUGAGCUCUCGAAAUUCCUGACAAAGUGAACAAUAGGAGCAAAAGAUGUGAGAAAAUACAUCUUGAUAAGGGGCUUCAACUAGACCAUAUCUGGUUCUCAGUUUUGUUCUAUAUUUGGAACCCAUGAUCCAUUGAGAGCAGAGAGCAGGCAUCAUCAAGAGGUAAAUGAAAGUGCCCACAGGACUAGCUGCAACCAUCAAUCAAACAUGAAUCAGCUUGAGCUUAGUUUGGUGAAAUUUUAAAGACUCAGUCAAAUCAGAACCCAAGAACAGAGGCCAUACUCAGUUCUCCGGCAUCUAGGACUUCUGCUAUCUGACCAAAUGUCACGCAGGGGCAGCAUACAGUCAUACCGGCUGCCAAAUAAUAUCAGAUCAUUUUUAAAGUGAGGAAGGAGAAAUAUGUAAAGAUCAGAUCUAGAGUUGAUCAUCAUUCAUCAAAGAAGCAACAGACAGAGAAAUCACGAAUUACAAAUUUAUGAUAGUGUUUCUGACUGUUAGUCAUCAACGUUCUUUUCAGUAAAAUAAUCAACCAGCUUCAAUUUUCGGAACCGUCCACCAAGAAAUAUUUGUCCAGAAACCACAAUUCAUGCAAUCUUCAUCCUAAUUGAACUUCUUUCUGUGCAUAUUGUAGUUUGUUAAGAAAUUGAAAUUCCCGUGGUGAAAUACCUUUCCAGAGUGAUUCAAAGGACUUUAUUUCGCAUGUUCCCAUAAGCCUUGGUUUCUAACAGGCCACAACCCCAUCCCCAACCAUCGCUUGCCCUCUCCAUCGUUACCGUCCAAUUCUUCACCGCCAAAAUAUAUAUAUAUAUAUAUAGUUUAUUCAUUCCAUUCUAAACACGAAGUCCAAAUGUCUUGAGCUUCUGGACAAUGAUAUAUCUGGUUUUGAGAUUGACUCUAAUCUGGUUUAUCUUCAGUUACUAAGAACAACUGGAGAGAACAAACAAGAAAGAGCGAUUACCAUUUGUUUUGUCUUCAUGGCAGUCGAACAAGCCUGUACUCCAUGGGCUUCCUACGAAAGUAGGCGGUGCCAGCGACACUCCUCCUCCUUGUGCUACUGGAGGAAAUGAGACCACUGCUUCUCCUCCCUGUUUUGGAUCAGUUUCUACUGCUACAUCUGUGGCUUCCACUUUAAAUUUUAAAGUCACGAUCAUUGUUAAGGAUGCUUUAUAUCUUUCUCGUUCUGCUCACCACAAAACGAGAAAUAUGCUGGAAGUAGAUGGCAUGCCAACUGCUUUCAUAUAUUUAUCAUACGCUCUUUAGUAGUAGUAUGUGCCAAUGCCUAUCUUCUUGAUUUUUUUUAUUUUUAUUUUUUCAUUUUUUGGAUGGCGGCCUUCUUCAUUCGGAGCAAGUCGUCGAAAAGUCAAUGUGAUGCACAAUAAUAUCUUUCACGAUAGAUAGAUUAUAGAAUAUGGAGCUAGAAAGUAAUGGGUAAGUAGCUGAAAAAUAUACAAUUUCUGACUGGAAGUUCAGUCCAAGUUUCCUAUCAAAUCCAGCCAGUUGCACCAGCGACAAAGCAAAUAAAACUUGGAAUUUCCCCGUUUUCUAGAAGCUGGGUUUAUGGCGGGCAUUGCCGUCUUAAUUACUGGAAUAUUAAGCAAAAAAUUACCAUGCCCGACUUUCCAAUAGAAUUAUUUUUCUUCGUCAGAUACAAGUACAAAAGUUUUCAGCAAGCAGUCAAGGAAGUGAAACUGGGACUGUUAUGAAGUGAAAUCAAAAGAAGAAUCCUUCUGUUCUGAACGUAGUAGUAAUCGCCCCCAUUAAUUGAUGCAGUCAUUAUUCCGAACAAUUUCUAACUGCUGCAAAUACAGCAUCUAAUCUAAUAACGAUACAAGGUUAUGCUAACUCUAAAAUAGUUGCUAAAAAUUGCAGCAGAGAGGCCUUGCUAUUUGCUCACAGAACGUACCAGGCACUAUACGAGAGUAUUGCAGGGUCACGCCAUUAAGUGAAGUGUAUGCUUCGGAUUGUUCUCUCUCCCGAAUGUCCUCUAGCCAUACACCUCCGCAGAAUAACAGUGAAAUGACCACAAAAUAAGAAUAAAUUCUACAUAUUUUAACCAGCAUUUGAUCAGUAAUUGCUCAAAUUUCUCUUGAAGCUAAUGUCCCAUAAUUAUAGAACCCUUGUAACUCAGGAUCCAUAGCUUCAUAACCUUGUAUUAAUCGUGUAUACAUAGUUGGAACCUGCAUCAUGCAAAGGGAAAACAUGAACUACACCAUUAAAAUGACAAAAGCUCUCCGGAAAUUACAGGUAUAUUGAAUGACUUCAAACAGGUAUAAUUAUUGUUGCCUCAUGAGGAACCAUCCUGAGAAUAUAAGUAAAUAACGUGGUUAUUUAUAACCACCUAGAGACAUAGAAUUAUGACAUUACAUAAGCAGCAUAUUUCUCACUUCCCCCUGUAAAUACAGUUAUAGCAUCAUCAACUUUUGUCUCUUUUCUUGGAUAUGAUUCCCGCCAUCCCUGCCAAAUUCCCCCAACGCUAAAUUUUGGCAUGAACUCCACCUUUAAAAAAAAAAAAGGGACAAGCAAUAUCACAAGUGCUGCAACAAGACAUUAUUGAUUCUUUGGCAGGAAAGUUAUAGCAUAAAUUUGCAGUAUAAUUUCCGUUACAACUUUGAACAUGUGGAAAUAUAUAAGAACUUACCACAGAACCAGCGUAUAGAGGAGCAAGCAAAGCAUUGAAAAGGCCGUGCACAUGUUGGUAGAAGUUAAGGCUAGACAUAUAACCAACAUUUCAUCGAACUUAUACAGCAUAUCAACCCAGCAAAUAGGAGAAGAGAUGGGAAAAGCAAAUAGGUGAGUACUCCCAAGCAUUUGCCAACAUUUGAACCUGAAAUUAAGCAAACCAUCGUAAUGAUUAUUUCAAGGUGAAACAGAAGUGCAAUGAAAAGGAAAUACGCUUCAGUCAAAACCUAACAGUUCCAACUUCCAAAAAGCACACUUUAGAAAGAAAGAGUUGACAGCAAGCAUUUUGCAUUAUGCAAGUAAAAUUGACAACAUAUUGCUCUGCCUUGUACGUGAAAGAAGAGCAUUGCAUGGCAAUCAAUUUUUGUUGUCUUAUUAUAACGCAUAUUCACCAUACAAGCACAUCUUACCCUGCCAAAAGUCUGACAUUUUCCAGAUUAAGGAAAGGUCUAGAGUAAUUGGAAAAACUAAAAGAACAUUUUCCCAUUUCAUUUUGUUUUAGACCAAGUACACACAAUAUAAAUGACAGGCAAGUAAUAAAAAUACCUGAGCCAAGAUGCUUCUGUGUGCAUGAACAACUC